AAUAUUGGACAAUGGGGGGAACCCUGAUCCAGCCAUGCCGCGUGUGUGAAGAAGGNCUNNGGAUUNUNAAGCACUUUAAGUUGNNNNNAAGAGUUGUAGGCUAAUACCUUCCAAUUUUGACGUUACCAAUAGAAUAAGUACCGGCUAACUUCGUUCCAGCAGCUGCGGUAAUACGAAGGGUGCAAGCGUUAAUCGGAAUUACUGGGCGUAAAGCGCGCGUAGGUGGUUCGUUAAGUUGGAAGUGAAAGCCCCGGGCUUAACCUGGGAAUUGCUUUCAAAACUGACGAGCUAGAGUACGGUAGAGGGUAGUGGAAUUUCCUGUGUAGCGGUGAAAUGCGUAGAUAUAGGAAGGAACAUCAGUGGCGAAGGCGACUACCUGGACUGAUACUGACACUGAGGUGCGAAAGCGUGGGGAGCAAACAGG
rnacentral:rRNA from 1 species